GGCACAGAGUGUUAAGGGGGAAAGGCCUUUACCACAUGGAAGGUGUUAGAUGAGAUUCCAAUGUCUCCCUCAGAGCUGUCUCAUUCCCAGGGAAUCAUCAGAGGUCAAAUGAUUUACCUGUAAUCCAGGAAACGUGGGAAGAAUAAGUACGUGAGAGCCAGUUGGGAGAAACAAAGUUGUGCAGGCCAAGGGCAUAAAGCCCAAUCUCGAAGGCGCAAAGGUGCAGGUUGCGGUGAGGACCCUGGUGGCCCCCUGAGGAAGAUGGAUGUGUGAAAAUGGAAGUGCUGCUGUUGCCCCCUGCCUUGAUCAGCACUGUCUUCGCCAGCUCGAAGUAGAAGUGUGCAGCUGCCUCUGAUGGCUGAUUGGUCUUCGCCCGGGCUCCUCCACUGGCACUGGCCCGGCGACUUCCACUGGAGGAUGAGGAGCCCAGGGAGUCCGAAGAAGAGCUGCUAAUGCUGUCACUGUCCUGACCUCGACCCCAGGAGGUGGGGGCCCAGCCCCCUCGAAGUGGUCUCCGGCUUAAGGUGGGGGAACUAUCCGAUGUUGUUUCAGGGGCACUGCUGUCAAUGCUGGCCAUGCCU
rnacentral:lncRNA from 1 species